UGUACAUCAUAGUUUUAUAAGAACAGUGGUUACAUUACAACAACAAACCCUGCUAAGCAGCUACAAGCAAGCAUCUAUGUGCAAAAAAGCUCAACUCAUACAAUGUAAACAUAUUGAAAAAAUAAAUGCAAAAUAAACAAAACUGUAGACACAGCAGAUUGAAAAAUUAACACAACUAAAUGAAGUACUAUAGAAAAUGUGUUCAAUUUUAUGCUAUACAUAUAAUUAAAAUUUUGAACUUUAUAAUUCUUAAACUAAUAGAAGGAAUUCAGAUAUAUUGCUUGAAAUAAUGAUAUAAUCAACAUUCAUAAUGGCAAAUAUAUUCCAUAUAAAAAGACAAUUCAUUUAACAUAAUGUUGGACUCAAUGAAAUAUAUGGGUGAUAAUAACCAUAAAGGAAUAAAUAUACCAAAUACAAUGGAAUAGAUUUAUACAGAGAUUAAAAUACUAUAUAAUAACAAAUACUGUAUUAACACAAAGUUUUCUAUUAUUCUAUGAACAUAAUGUGUAAAGAGAAAACUAUUCCUCUUCCUGUUUUCUUUCUGAGAG
rnacentral:lncRNA from 1 species